rnacentral:rRNA from 1 species
AAAUUGAAGAGUUUGAUCAUGGCUCAGAUUGAACGCUGGCGGCAGGCCUAACACAUGCAAGUCGAACGGUAACAGGAAGCAGCUUGCUGCUUUGCUGACGAGUGGCGGACGGGUGAGUAAUGUCUGGGAAACUGCCUGAUGGAGGGGGAUAACUACUGGAAACGGUGGCUAAUACCGCAUAACGUCGCAAGACCAAAGAGGGGGACCUUCGGGCCUCUUGCCAUCAGAUGUGCCCAGAUGGGAUUAGCUUGUUGGUGAGGUAACGGCUCACCAAGGCGACGAUCCCUAGCUGGUCUGAGAGGAUGACCAGCCACACUGGAACUGAGACACGGUCCAGACUCCUACGGGAGGCAGCAGUGGGGAAUAUUGCACAAUGGGCGCAAGCCUGAUGCAGCCAUGCCGCGUGUAUGAAGAAGGCCUUCGGGUUGUAAAGUACUUUCAGCGGGGAGGAAGGUGUUGUGGUUAAUAACCGCAGCAAUUGACGUUACCCGCAGAAGAAGCACCGGCUAACUCCGUGCCAGCAGCCGCGGUAAUACGG